UAGGGAAUCUUCGGCAAUGGACGGAAGUCUGACCGAGCAACGCCGCGUGAGUGAAGAAGGUUUUCGGAUCGUAAAGCUCUGUUGUAAGAGAAGAACGGGUGUGAGAGUGGAAAGUUCACACUGUGACGGUAUCUUACCAGAAAGGGACGGCUAACUACGUGCCAGCAGCCGCGGUAAUACGUAGGUCCCGAGCGUUGUCCGGAUUUAUUGGGCGUAAAGCGAGCGCAGGCGGUUAGAUAAGUCUGAAGUUAAAGGCUGUGGCUUAACCAUAGUAGGCUUUGGAAACUGUUUAACUUGAGUGCAAGAGGGGAGAGUGGAAUUCCAUGUGUAGCGGUGAAAUGCGUAGAUAUAUGGAGGAACACCGGUGGCGAAAGCGGCUCUCUGGCUUGUAACUGACGCUGAGGCUCGAAAGCGUGGGGAGCAAACAGGAUUAGAUACCCUGGUAGUCCACGCUGUAAACGAUGAGUGCUAGGUGUUAGACCCUUUCCGGGGUUUAGUGCCGUAGCUAACGCAUUAAGCACUCCGCCUGGGGGAGUACGACCGCAAGGUUG
rnacentral:rRNA from 1 species